CGUGUCUGUGCCCAGGGUGGGUGGUCCCGGCCUUCCCUGUGUCUGUGCCCGGGGUGGGUGGGCUCCGCCUUGCCUAGCGGGCUCAGUUUGUGUCCAGUGGUGUUUACUUGAUCAGUGCCGAGGCUGCGUUGUCAGGCAUGGAUAAAGUUAGCAUCAGCCUGUCUUCCCCUGACUGACCUCUUCAGCGUUCCUUGGUGGCCUGUCUGUCUCCAGGUCUGUCCAUCACCUUGUGUCACUUCAUGGAUGUUAAUACAGCGACACCAGCUUUCUCUACUGUCUGCCUGCUCUUUUUCCAUCUCAAAAAAAAAUGUGUAGCCUCUGGGUCCUUAAGUCACAUAUAUCUCCUGUCUUUCUGUCCUCUGUGUCUCCCAUGUACGUGAAUGCUGUUUUCUUUCUGCAGUCAGACCUUUGUCUUGUAACUAGAGCACUCGGUGCAUUGAGGUCGAUGUUGCCUGCUCAUCCGUGUGAUGGACUGUGACCGUCUCAUCCUGCACCUCUGUCUCCUGCUCUUUUUCAGCUUGGUCGCCUUUUCUCUCGUUUGGAGUACACGCUUCCUACUAGCUCACUGUUUAUCCUACAAAUGUCAAUGGCUGGCCGGGCACGGGGCCUCACACCUGUGAUCCCAGCGCCUUGGGAGGCUGAGGCAGGAGAAUCGCUGGAGGCCAGGAGUUCAAGACCAGCCAGCACAACAUAGCGAGACCCCGUCUCUAUAAAGAAAAAAAAAAGGAACGUCGACUAAAUUUUUCAAAGCCCAAUAUUAAUCAGUAUCUUUUCCUCCAACUCACAAACCGUCUCACACUCAUCCAGUCAGCAUGUCACUGACAGGCUGUUGUAUUGACUUUUUUUUUUUAAUUGAACAUACGUUGUUUUCACUGAUUUAUGUUUUUUAAAUUGAACAUACAUUGUUAUCACUGAUUUAUGUGGUCAGCUGCCGAGGUUUUCCCACUCAUUACCGCUGACCUGCUCUUCAUCCCUUCUUUCAAUUCCAACCUUCCCUUUGGGAGCUCUUGGCUUCUCCCUGCUGCAUUUCCUCAGCUUUUGCCCCGUAGAGUGUCUGUUAAUGGGGUGCAUGCUCUGUAAAUUUGGGGCUAAAAAUGUCCAAGUAUUCAUCUCACUUUUUUUUUUUUGAGACAGAGUCUCACUCUGUCACCCAGGCUGGAGGACAGUGGUGCGACCUCAGCUCACCGCACCCUCCGCCUCCCGGGUUUAAGCGAUUCUCCUGCCUCAGCCUCUCAAGUAGCUGGGAUUACAGGCAUGCGCCACCACACCUGGUUAAUCGUUUGUUUUGUUUUGAGACAGAGUCUCACUCUGUCGCCCAGGCUGGAGUGCAGUAGUGCGAUCUCAGCUCACUGCAACCUCUGCCUCCUGUGUUGAAGCGAUUCUCCUGCCUCAGCCUCUCAAGUAGCUGGGAUUACAGGCAUGCGCCACCACACCUGGUUAAUCGUUUGUUUUGUUUUGAGACAGAGUCUCACUCUGUCGCCCAGGCUGGAGUGCAGUGGUGCGAUC
rnacentral:lncRNA from 10 species